GCUCACCUUUCCAUUAGAUGAAGAAAGCUGCAAGCAGCUGAAGCAAACAGCUUGUGACCAAAAUGUGACUUCUAAAGAGCAAGCAGGUAAGCAAGAAGGUGCAUAGCACAUGACUGAUCCAGCAAGCAAGCACACAAGCUGGUACAACUCAUGAGACUGAUUUAAAUUAACAAGCAGCUGAAACUAUUCCCAGCCAGUUCUCGACCAAACAUUUUCCCGUCCAUCGAAUCUCAUCUUGCUUUUAUAUAAACUCUUCCAGCCUUAAUAAAACUCGACCAUAAUAAUUAAAACUCGACCAGAACUAUCAAGGGUAGGUGUAUCGGCCACAAGACAGUCCCAUCGAGACAUUAAUCACCGGGUCGAUUUUUUUUUUUUAAUUCUGUUCGAACCAACUCCAAAUUGGUCGAGUGAAAUUUUUCUCGACCCAAAUUCUAUCUGCUCGUGAGAGUUAUUACAUUAUUCCCCCCUCAAAAGAAUUCGUCCCCGAAUUCUGAAAACAUAGAUGUACACACUGUACUGAACACUGUCUCUGAAAGGAGUUCUGGAUAUUAGCUAUGUACUUAUCUUCAUGUGCCCAUAUCAAAACAACUCAUGGUCGAUUCCUUGAUUCCCCCAACCGAUCCUUUCUUUUCUGAGCAGCCACUUUCAAGAUAACCAAAUUCUUUACUCUGCACAACUCUUGUCAACUGCGGUCUGUGUACUUUUUCUAACAAUCUUGUCUCUGUAGACUAUCACAUCUCAACAUUUUCUAUCUGGCUUUCUCCCAUAACAGCAACAUGAAAUUUGGAACGUUAAGUGAUGUGCCAUACGUGAAAGUAACAUCUCCAGUCUGGUCAAUGUUAACUUGAUUAACCGUGCAACAAUCAAACAAGAACAUGCACGAUCAAUCAAACCAACAUGAUUCGGACCAGGGGUGCUACUCUCAAAUACACACACUCACCCAUUCCAAGAAUGAUUUCACUUACAGUAUUCUUUACACUUCUGAUCUAUCUGAGACCCUCUUCAUAAUCUUCUGAAUAAGUUAACCUUUCUGAUGUUUCCCAUGAUCAAGUCUUGUUCCAUUGCUUUCUGAUUUCUUUCUUCUCUCCAGCCACUGAGGAUUCAACAGGUCCGUCUAUACCAAGCUUGAUUCACCAACUGUCUAAUCUUGUACGACGACUUCAUACUUUAUGUAUUGAUACAUCCUCUGAUAUUUUAACAACCUUGGCAUUCCCAUAUGCCUUACGGUCAUACAUAUUCCUUAACUCAUCAAUCUUCUUCGGCGUUCACUUAACAUCUCUUCUCUACUCAUCUAGUUUAAUCUUCUGGUAGAACUUGAGUUCCUUCUCCCACGUCUUUUCUAACUAACCUUGUGUAC
rnacentral:lncRNA from 1 species